CUAAAUCACCUUGGUGUUAAGCUGUCAGUUUGUCAUUUUUACUGUAUAAUCAUUUCAUAAAGAAGCUUGAUUGUCCAGAAUAGCAAUGGGAUUAUUUUCGUCAAAGAAUCAAACAUCAGAUGCUAUUAAAAAGAAUACGUCCUUGCUAAUGAAUAAUGGUAUGCUGUACAAACCCAAUAGUGCACAAUUUAAUGAUUCAAUUGAAGAUAUGGAUACAUCAUUCAUAGAUAUUGGAAAGACAGGCACUGGUACAUACUCGCCACCUUCAUUAUCUAAGGAAGAUCAAAUAGAAAUAAUCUCAUUUUGCAGUUCAUUGUCUGCCUUGCCAAAGGUCCCGUUCCAGGAGAGAAAGGCAAAAUUCAUUCAAGAUGCCAGAAAUCGUUAUAUUAAAAAACACAAUUUGAAUUUGUAGACUUUCAUAUACCAAUGUAUUUAUUUAGAUUUGUACUUUUAGAUAUUUCCAUAUUUUACUGCUUUUCUAAUUGUAAGAUUUUCUUACCUGAAUAAACGACGGUUAAUAAAA